rnacentral:lncRNA from 10 species
AGGAAUCUACCUUUAAAGAACAGAGUGGAUGACUCUGAUGCAGGUUGAACUGGACCCCAUAAAGGGGCACCACUGCCAUUUGUUGCUCUGAGGUGCAACCUACAGACCUGCAGACCCUGGAGCAAAAGUUCAUCUUGCAGAGGCCUCCAGUUCCUCCUGUGUGUCAGGAACAAUUCCGGGGAUUCAGCUGUGAACACGAGUCAACGAUCUUCCCCAUGUCAAGCUUAUCUUCCAGUGGAGAAGAAGAGGAGUGAUCACACUUAAUAGGAAAAACAAGCAGGAAAUAAAAGCAAAAACACAAAUCCAGGUGGGCUUUGUCAUUGCUGAGACUACUCCUGAUAAAUCCUGACAUUUCAGGGUACUGUGCAGGAGACUUACAGACACCAGAAACCCGAAGGCAGCAUUCACCUGGAUAAUGCUAGAAGGAAACAUAAAAGGUCAGAGAAGGCCCCGACCAUAUGUACAUCUUACGGACCACUGAUGAUGCUUCAAGAUUGCUGGUCAGGUGAAGGAAACACCAUGACCACCCCAAAUCAAUCACAUAGAAUUCCAUGACUGAGG